rnacentral:rRNA from 1 species
GACGAACGCUGGCGGCGUGCUUAACACAUGCAAGUCGAACGGAAAGGCCCUGCUUUUGUGGGGUGCUCGAGUGGCGAACGGGUGAGUAACACGUGAGUAACCUGCCCUUGACUUUGGGAUAACUUCAGGAAACUGGGGCUAAUACCGGAUAGGAGCUCCUGCUGCAUGGUGGGGGUUGGAAAGUUUCGUCGGUUGGGGAUGGACUCGCGGCUUAUCAGCUUGUUGGUGGGGUAGUGGCUUACCAAGGCUUUGACGGGUAGCCGGCCUGAGAGGGUGACCGGCCACAUUGGGACUGAGAUACGGCCCAGACUCCUACGGGAGGCAGCAGUGGGGAAUAUUGCACAAUGGGCGGAAGCCUGAUGCAGCAACGCCGCGUGCGGGAUGACGGCCUUCGGGUUGUAAACCGCUUUCGCCUGUGACGAAGCGUGAGUGACGGUAAUGGGUAAAGAGGCACCGGCUAACUACGUG